rnacentral:rRNA from 1 species
AUUUUGGACAAUGGGGGAAACCCUGAUCCAGCCACCCCGCGUGUAUGAUGAAGGCCUNNNGGUUGNAAAGUACUUUUGGCAGANAAANAAAGGCAUCCCCUAAUACGGGAUGCUGCUGACGGUAUCUGCAGAAUAAGCACCGGCUAACUACGUGCCAGUAGCCGCGGUAAUACGUAGGGUGCAAGCGUGAUUCGGAAUUACUGGGCUUAAAGCGUGUGUAGGCGGUUCGGAAAGAAAGAUGUGAAAUCCCAGGGCUCAACCUUGGAACUGCAUUUUUAACUGCCGAGCUAGAGUAUGUCAGAGGGGGGUAGAAUUCCACGUGUAGCAGUGAAAUGCGUAGAUAUGUGGAGGAAUACCGAUGGCGAAGGCAGCCCCCUGGGAUAAUACUGACGCUCAGACACGAAAGCGUGGGGAGCAAACAGG